rnacentral:rRNA from 1 species
ACGAACGCUGGCGGCAUGCCUAACACAUGCAAGUCGAACGAGACCUUCGGGUCUAGUGGCGCACGGGUGCGUCACGCGUGGGAAUCUACCCUCAGGUUCGGAAUAACUCAGAGAAAUUUGAGCUAAUACCGGAUGAUGACGUAAGUCCAAAGAUUUAUCGCCUGAGGAUGAGCCCGCGUAGGAUUAGGUAGUUGGUGAGGUAAAGGCUCACCAAGCCGACGAUCCUUAGCUGGUCUGAGAGGAUGAUCAGCCACACUGGGACUGAGACACGGCCCAGACUCCUACGGGAGGCAGCAGUGGGGAAUAUUGGACAAUGGGCGAAAGCCUGAUCCAGCAAUGCCGCGUGAGUGAUGAAGGCCUUAGGGUUGUAAAGCUCUUUUACCCGGGAUGAUAAUGACAGUACCGGGAGAAUAAGCUCCGGCUAACUCCGUG